UCACCCCUCAAGCCUAGCUUGGUGUUGGACGGUCGGUCGCGGUACCUCCACGACCCCUCCUAAAAAUAAUGACGGUGGCCUGUUGGACCCCCGGUACAUUGAGCUUCUUCAUUAAGCACGUAUCGGUUUAAAGGGUGGCGGGACCCCGGUCUUCUUCCUUAACUGGAAAAACCUCACUAA
rnacentral:misc_RNA from 1 species